rnacentral:rRNA from 1 species
AGAGUUUGAUCAUGGCUCAGGAUGAACGCUAGCUACAGGCUUAACACAUGCAAGUCGAGGGGAAACGACAUCGAAAGCUUGCUUUUGAUGGGCGUCGACCGGCGCACGGGUGAGUAACGCGCAUCCAACCUGCCCACCACUUGGGGAUAACCUUGCGAAAGUAAGACUAAUACCCAAUGAUAUCUCUAGAAGACAUCUGAAAGAGAUUAAAGAUUUAUCGGUGAUGGAUGGGGAUGCGUCUGAUUAGCUUGUUGGCGGGGUAACGGCCCACCAAGGCAACGAUCAGGUAGGGGUUCUGAGAGGAACGGUCCCCCACAUUGGAACUGAGACACGGUCCAAACUCCUACGGGAGGCAGCA